UUGAGCGUGCAAUGCAGGUGCAUGUGCAAUGCAGGUGCAGGUGCGAUGCAGGUGCGUGUGUCAGGCUGAGCGUGCGAUGCAGGUGCAGGUGCGAUGCAGGUGCGAGUGUGAUGCGGGUGCAUGUGUCAGGCUGAGCGUGCGAUCCGGGGUGCGUGUGUCCGGCCAAGCUUGCGAUGCAGGUGCGAGUGUGAUGUGGGUGCAUGUGUCAGGCUGA
rnacentral:lncRNA from 1 species